rnacentral:rRNA from 1 species
UACAGAGGUCCCGAGCGUUGUUCGGAUUCACUGGGCGUAAAGGGUGCGCAGGUGGGUUGGCAAGUUUGAUGUGAAAGCCCCGGGCUUAACCCGGGAAAGGCAUUGAAUACUGCUGAUCUGGAGGAUCGGAGGGGGGACUGGAAUUCUUGGUGUAGCAGUGAAAUGCGUAGAUAUCAAGAGGAACACCAGUGGGCGAAGGCGAGUCCCUGGACGAUACCUGACACUGAGGCACGAAAGCCAAGGGAGCAAACAGG